CCACCUCCACCACCUCCUCCCCCUCCUCAAGACCUUCCUCCUCCUCCCCAGCCAGCGCCCUACAAUACCACGAGAAAAAGUCGCGCCAAUAAAACUCAAGAAACAAUCCCUUGGUGAACUUCAUGGUGUACGGCGCGGUGGUGCUAGGCCUCCUGGCCAUCUUCACCCUGGCCGUCAUGUUUGCCUACGCGAUGGCAGGUAGAAAUUCUUGGCGAGGAAGAGAGGACCGGACAGAGGACGACCUUGGCGUCUACAGGCCACGUCUGACCGAUCACCCUGGGCUUCGGAGGAGGGCCUCAAUAGUUGCACCCUCGCCCAACAAGGCGUCGGAGUCACAUCUGCCCCGCGGUAGUAACGACGAAGACCAUCGUGCGGCCUGAUGCUUGCGAUACUUUUCGUCUCGGCACGCCAAUUUCUUACCAAUUUAGGCUUAUCGCUUUGACGAAUAAAGCGCCCGCGCUGCAUGUCAGCGAUAGCG